GGUCUGCUGGUGUAACUGAUAACACCUCUGGUCUUAUGACGACUGCGCUUAGCUCGGUCAGCUAGGCUGAGGGAUCAAACAUGUCGCCGGUUCGAUUCCGGUGCGGACCA